rnacentral:rRNA from 1 species
UGUCGUCAGCUCGUGUUGUGAAAUGUUGGGUUAAGUCCCGCAACGAGCGCAACCCUUAUCCUUUGUUGCCAGCGGUCCGGCCGGGAACUCAAAGGAGACUGCCAGUGAUAAACUGGAGGAAGGUGGGGAUGACGUCAAGUCAUCAUGGCCCUUACGACCAGGGCUACACACGUGCUACAAUGGCGCAUACAAAGAGAAGCGACCUCGCGAGAGCAAGCGGACCUCAUAAA